rnacentral:piRNA from 1 species
UAAGCCCCAUUACGUCAUUUACAAAGUGU